rnacentral:rRNA from 1 species
UUUUAAAGACCUAGUAAUAGGUAUGCUUUAGGAGGGGCUUGCGCCAUAUUAGUUAGUUUGUAGGGUAAUGGCCUACCAAGACGAUGAUGUGUAGCUGGACUGAGAGGUUGAACAGCCACAUUGGGACUGAGACACGGCCCAAACUCCUACGGGAGGCAGCAGUAGGGAAUUUUCGGCAAUGGAGGAAACUCUGACCGAGCAACGCCGCGUGAAUGACGAAGUACUUCGGUAUGUAAAGUUCUUUUAUCAAGGAAGAAAAGCAAAUGGCGAACCAUUUGUUUGCCGGUACUUGAUGAAUAAGCCCCGGCUAAUUAUGUGCCAGCAGCCGCGGUAAGACAUAAGGGGCAAGUGUUAUCCGGAAUUAUUGGGCGUAAAGGGUGCGUAGGCGGUCUAGUAAGUCAGUGGUGUAAUGGCAACGCUUAACGUUGUCCGGCUAUUGAAACUGCUAAACUUGAGUUAGAUAGAGGCGAGUGGAAUUCCAUGUGUAGCGGUAAAAUGCGUAAAUAUAUGGAGGAACACCAGAGGCGUAGGCGGCUCGCUGGGUCUUAACUGACGCUGAGGCACGAAAGCGUGGGGAGCAAACAGGAUUAGAUACCCUGGUAGUCCACGCCGUAAACGAUGAGUACUAAGUGUCGGGUUAAACCGGUACUGAAGUUAACACAUUAAGUACUCCGCCUGAGUAGUACGUACGCAAGUAUGAAACUUAAAGGAAUUGACGGGACUCCGCACAAGCGGUGGAUCAUGUUGUUUAAUUCGAAGAUACCCGAAAAACCUUACCAGGUCUUGACAUGUUUUUGCAAAAUGAUAGUAGUAUCGUGGAGGUUACCAGAAACACAGGUGGUGCAUGGUUGUCGUCAGCUCGUGUCGUGAGAUGUUAGGUUAAGUCCUAAAACGAGCGAAACCCUUAUCGUUAGUUGCCAGCACGUUAUGGUGGGGACUUUAACGAGACUGCCAAUGAUAAAUUGGAGGAAGGUGAGGAUCACGUCAAAUCAGCAUGCCCCUUAUGACCUGGGCUACAAACGUGAUACAAUGGCUGUUACAAAGGGUAGCUGAAACGCAAGUUCUUGGCCAAUCCCCAAAAACAGUCCCAGUCCGGAUUGAAGUCUGCAA